GCCCGGGUAGCUCAGUUGGUAGAGCAACUCCAUGGUAAGGAGUAGGUCGGCGGUUCAAGUCCGCCCUCGGGCU
rfam:Candidatus Buchananbacteria bacterium RIFCSPHIGHO2_01_FTLL_44_11 rifcsphigho2_01_scaffold_1105, whole genome shotgun sequence.